GUUAAGCGACUAAGCGUACACGGUGGAUGCCCUGGCAGUCAGAGGCGAUGAAGGACGUGCUAAUCUGCGAUAAGCGUCGGUAAGGUGAUAUGAACCGUUAUAACCGGCGAUUUCCGAAUGGGGAAACCCAGUGUGAUUCGUCACACUAUCAUUAACUGAAUCCAUAGGUUAAUGAGGCGAACCGGGGGAACUGAAACAUCUAAGUACCCCGAGGAAAAGAAAUCAACCGAGAUUCCCCCAGUAGCGGCGAGCGAACGGGGAGCAGCCCAGAGCCU
rnacentral:rRNA from 1 species